rnacentral:rRNA from 1 species
UACAGAGGCCUCGAGCGUUAGGCGGAAUCACUGGGCUUAAAGCGUGUGUAGGCGGACUUCUAAGUACCUUGUGAAAUCCCACGGCUCACCCGUGGAACUGCUCGGUAUACUGGUCGUCUUGAGCCUUCUAGGGGCGAGUGGAACAAAUGGUGGAGCGGUGAAAUGCGUAGAUAUCAUUUGGAACGCCAAUGGUGAAAACAACUCGCUGGGUAAGUGCUGACGCUGAGACACGAAAGCCAGGGGAGCGAACGGG